rnacentral:rRNA from 1 species
UACGGAGGGGGCAAGCGUUGUUCGGAAUUAUUGGGCGUAAAGGGCAUGUAGGCGGUUCGGUAAGUUAAAGGUGAAAUGCCAGGGCUUAACCCUGGAGCUGCUUUUAAUACUGCCAGACUCGAGUCCGGGAGAGGAUAGCGGAAUUCCUAGUGUAGAGGUGAAAUUCGUAGAUAUUAGGAGGAACACCAGUGGCGAAGGCGGCUAUCUGGUCCGGUACUGACGCUGAGGUGCGAAAGCGUGGGGAGCAAACAGGAUUA